rnacentral:lncRNA from 1 species
UGAUGCUAAUAUGCCUGAACAAUAAGCAAGAAGUAUGCUCAACAUUAGAUAAAUGCAGAUUAUGCAAAUUCUUUCAUUCUUUGACUUUACUUUGUGCUUUGUUCUUUACUCUUUGCUCUUUGUUCUUUGUUCUUUAAUCAUUAAGGCUAACCCGGGGGCUUCGCCACAUUAACUUGCUUCACAUUAAGUCCAUCAUCGCAGGAACUCACCAGCUAGGACCGUCCUUUCGGGUCUACUCCAACCCGGAUGCAUAACUCCGGAGCGCAUCGCCCGAGGGGGAGCGACCGCCCUCGAGCACGGAACUCAUAGCAAGCAUGAUCAUAUCCUUAACUCAUAGGAUUUAUAAGUUCAAUCUUGACUUUACACUAGCUCUAGUGUUCAUUAUAUUACUUUAUGUUGCAAACUCAUGCAAUCACAUUCUUUACUUUGUCCUUUACUUUUGCUAACUCUAGCAAUUAUAUUCUUUACAUUCUUUACUUUUGGCUACCUCUAGCAUUUCACGUUCUUUACUUCCCACAUUGCGUUAACUUUAAGCAUUAUCAUUUUCAGCAUUCUUUACAUUACAUUGGUUCUUUACCUCACACUAUCUCUAGUGUCUCUUUACUUUACAUUUUCAAAUGCCUCUCGAUCUAUGUCAUUGUGCCACUCGGUUCUUUUGCUCACUUUGGGUACUCACAUUUUCUCUCAUGCAUAC